GUGCUCACUUCCACAGCAAUUAUACUAAAAUUGGAAUGAGAGAGAAGAUUAGUAUGGCCCAGUGCAAGGAUGACAUGCAAAUGCAUGAAGCGUUCCCUAUUUUG